AUUGAACGCUGGCGGCAGGCCUAACACAUGCAAGUCGAGCGAGCGGCGGACGGGUGAGUAAUGUCUGGGAAACUGCCUGAUGGAGGGGGAUAACUACUGGAAACGGUAGCUAAUACCGCAUACCAUCAGAUGUGCCCAGAUGGGAUUAGCUAGUAGGUGGGGUAACGGCUCACCUAGGCGCCGAUCCCUAGCUGGUCUGAGAGGAUGACCAGCAAAAUGGUAACGGGGAACUGGUCCAGACUCCUAGGGGAGGCAGCAGGGGGGAAUAUGGAACAAUGGGGGAAAGCCGGAUGCAGCCAUGCGGGGUGUAUGAAGAGGGCCUUCGGGUUGUAAAGUACUUUCAGCGGGGAGGCGUUACCCGCAGAAGAAGCACCGGCUAACUCCGUGCCAGCAGCCGCGGUAAUC
rnacentral:rRNA from 1 species